UCUGUUUCGGUCAUUCGAAAAAUUGGUCUCGUUGGCUCUCCGUGUGUGUAUGUCCGCUGAAACUGCGCCAAAAUACCGCGUGCAGCAGCAGCAGCAGCAGCAGAAAAGUAAUAAAAGCUCGGCUUGCAUGCAAUUUUCAUUAGUGGGAAAAUUGCUUGAUAUUUAAGAGACACCCGAGGAACAAACCGAAUCGACCCAGCCAACCAACACAGCAGACACAUUCCAAAAUAAAUUAAUAAUAGAAGGAAAUAAAAGUAAGAACAGAACGAACACACACUCGAGGGCCGAGCGGAGAGCCAAACGACGAAAAUGUGGCGGCAGUCAACGAUGCUGGCCGCGUUGUUAGUGGCUCUUAUAGCGGGCUGUGCAGCAAGCAAAGGCAACCAUCCACCCAGAAUCGUGAAGCAACCGGCACCCGGAGAACUGCUCUUCAAAGUGGCGCAACAAAAUAAGGAGAGCGACAAUCCAUUCAUUAUCGAGUGCGAAGCCGAUGGACAACCCGAACCAGAAUACAGUUGGAUCAAGAACGGCAAGAAGUUCGACUGGCAGGCGUACGACAACCGAAUGCUGCGGCAGCCGGGACGCGGAACCCUGGUGAUCACCAUUCCGAAGGACGAGGACCGUGGCCAUUACCAGUGCUUCGCCUCCAACGAGUUCGGAACAGCCACCUCGAAUUCCGUGUACGUGCGAAAGGCCGAGCUGAAUGCCUUCAAGGACGAGGCGGCCAAGACACUGGAGGCGGUCGAGGGUGAGCCGUUCAUGCUGAAGUGUGCGGCGCCCGAUGGCUUCCCCAGUCCCACCGUCAACUGGAUGAUCCAGACAUCGAUCGACGGCAGCAUCAAGUCGAUCAACAACUCCCGCAUGACCCUCGACCCCGAGGGCAACCUGUGGUUCUCCAAUGUGACCCGCGACGACGCCAGCUCGGACUUCUACUACGCCUGCUCGGCGACGUCGGUGUUCCGCAGCGAGUACAAGAUCGGCAACAAGGUGCUCCUCGACGUCAAGCAGAUGGGCGUCAGCGCCUCCCAGAACAAGCAUCCGCCCAUUCGCCAAUACGUCUCCCGUCGCCAGUCGCUGGCUCUGCGCGGCAAGCGCAUGGAGCUCUUCUGCAUCUACGGUGGAACGCCGCUGCCGCAGACCGUUUGGAGCAAGGACGGCCAGCGGAUACAGUGGAGCGAUCGCAUAACCCAAGGACACUACGGCAAGUCGCUGGUCAUACGACAGACAAACUUCGACGACGCAGGAACGUACACUUGCGACGUUUCGAACGGCGUGGGCAAUGCCCAGUCCUUCUCCAUCAUCCUGAACGUGAACUCCGUGCCGUACUUCACCAAGGAACCGGACUUCGCCACCGCCGCCGAGGACGAGGAGGUGGUCUUCGAGUGUCGCGCCGCCGGUGUUCCCGAGCCGAAGAUCAGUUGGAUACACAACGGCAAGCCCAUCGAGCAGUCGCCACCGAAUCCCCGACGAACGGUGACCGACAACACGAUUCGCAUCAUCAACUUGGUGAAGGGCGAUACUGGCAACUACGGCUGCAACGCCACCAACUCCCUGGGCUACGUGUACAAGGAUGUCUACCUGAAUGUCCAGGCUGAGCCGCCAACGAUCUCGGAGGCGCCCACGGCGGUGUCCAGUGUGGAUGGCCGCAAUGUGACCAUCAAGUGUCGCGUCAACGGUUCCCCCAAGCCGCUGGUCAAGUGGCUGCGUGCCAGCAACUGGCUGACCGGCGGUCGCUACAAUGUCCAGGCCAACGGAGACCUCGAGAUCCAGGACGUAACCUUCUCGGAUGCGGGCAAGUACACGUGCUAUGCCAAGAAUAAGUUUGGUGAAAUCCAGGCCGACGGUUCGCUGGUGGUCAAGGAGCACACCAGGAUCACGCAGGAGCCGCAGAACUACGAAGUGGCCGCUGGACAGUCGGCCACCUUCCGGUGCAACGAAGCCCACGACGACACCCUGGACAUCGAGAUCGAUUGGUGGAAGGACGGACAGUCGAUUGACUUCGAGGCACAGCCACGAUUCGUGAAGACCAACGAUAAUUCACUGACGAUUGCCAAGACCAUGGAGCUGGACUCUGGGGAGUAUACUUGCGUGGCGAGGACUCGCCUGGACGAGGCCACCGCCAGGGCCAACUUGAUUGUGCAGGAUGUGCCGAACGCCCCCAGGCUGUUGGGCAUCACGUGCCAGGCGGACAAGGCGGAGAUCCAGUGGGAACCGCAGGGAGACAACCGCUCACCGAUCCUGCACUACACCAUCCAGUUUAACACCUCGUUCACGCCGGCCUCGUGGGACUCCGCCUACGAGAAGGUGCCCAACACGGACUCCUCCUUCGUGGUCCAGAUGUCCCCGUGGGCCAACUACACGUUCCGUGUGAUCGCCUACAACAAGAUCGGAGCAUCGCCUCCGUCGCCGCACAGCGACAGCUGCACCACCCAGCCGGAUGUGCCGUUCAAGAAUCCCGACAACGUCGUCGGCCAGGGCACCGAGCCCAACAACCUGGUCAUCUCGUGGACCCCCAUGCCGGAGAUCGAGCACAAUGCACCCAACUUCCACUACUACGUGAGCUGGAAGCGGGACAUUCCCGCCGCCGCGUGGGAGAACAACAACAUAUUCGACUGGCGACAGACCAACAUUGUGAUCGCCGAUCAGCCGACGUUCGUGCGCUACCUCAUCAAGGUGGUGGCCAUCAACGAGAAGGGCGAGUCGAAUGUGGCCGCCGAGGAGGUGGUCGGUUACUCCGGGGAGGAUCGUCCGCUGGAUGCGCCCACCAACUUCACCAUGCGACAGAUCACCUCGGCCACCAGCGGCUACAUGGCCUGGACGCCGGUGAGCGAGGAGUCGGUGCGGGGCCACUUCAAGGGCUACAAGAUCCAGACCUGGACGGAGAACGAGGGCGAGGAGGGUCUGCGGGAGAUCCAUGUCAAGGGGGAUACGCACAAUGCUCUGGUCACGCAAUUCAAGCCGGACUCGAAGAACUUUGCCCGCAUCUUGGCCUACAACGGACGAUUCAAUGGACCGCCGAGUGCCGUCAUCGAUUUCGAUACUCCGGAAGGUGUUCCGUCGCCGGUCCAGGGAUUGGAUGCCUAUCCCCUGGGCUCCUCCGCCUUCAUGCUCCACUGGAAGAAGCCGCUCUACCCGAACGGCAAGCUCACUGGCUACAAGAUCUACUACGAGGAGGUCAAGGAGAGCUACGUGGGCGGGCGACUCGAGUACGAUCCCCACAUCACCGAUCCGCGGGUCACACGGAUGAAGAUGGCAGGCCUGAAGCCGAACACCAAGUACCGCAUCUCCAUCGCGGCUACUACCAAAAUGGGAGAGGGAUCCGAACAUUACAUUGAGAAGUCAACGCUGAAGGAUGCCAUCACUGUGGCCCCGUCCACGCCCUCCUUCUCCUGGGAGCAGCUGCCCUCCGACAACGGACUGGCCAAGUUCCGCAUUAACUGGCUGCCAAGCACCGACGGUCAUCCUGGAACUCACUUCUUCACCAUGCACAGGAUCAAGGGCGAGACGCAGUGGAUGCGCGAGAACGAGGAGAAGAACUCGGACUACCAGGAGGUGGGUGGCCUGGAUCCCGACACCGCCUACGAGUUCCGUGUGGUCUCCGUCGACGGUCACUUCAACACGGAGAGCGCCACGCAGGAGAUCGACACGAACAGCGUGGAGGGACCCAUCAAGGUGGCCAACCAGACGGUGGCCAAUGCCGGCUGGUUCAUCGGCAUGAUGCUGGCCCUGGCCUUCAUCAUCCUCCUGUUCAUCAUCAUUUGCAUCGUGAGGCGCAAUCGGGGCGGCAAGUACGAUGUCCACGAUCGCGAGUUGGCCAACGGCCGGCGGGAUUAUCCCGAGGAGGGCGGAUUCCACGAGUACUCGCAACCGUUGGAUAACAAGAGCGCAGGUCGCCAAUCCGUGAGUUCAGCGAACAAGCCAGGAGUUGAAAGCGAUACCGAUUCGAUGGCCGAAUACGGCGAUGGCGACACAGCCGUGGCCACUGCCGCUGCCCGCGCCGCUGCUGCAGCCCGCAGCAAGACGACGUCGCUGCCAACGUCAACGUCCACCCAACAACAACAACAACAACAGCAAUUGCCGUCACUGCCCCAGUUGCCGUCGACGUCGGCGUCAACAGUUCCAUUGCCAUCGACCCAAACGCUCCUCCCGGUCGCUCCCACUUCCAAUCCCACUCCCAUUUCCACCGUCUCCCCGCCGUCCUACGAAUUGUGCAUGGCGGAUGCUGAGCACCGCAAGGCCUAAAAGAGAGUAGAGGAGCUUCCUUCCCCCUUUCUCUCCCCAGUCCGGCGUUGUUGUUGUUAUCCAAUCAGUCAGGCAUGAACGAAGAUGGAUCCUUUAUUGGCCAAUAUGGACGCAAAGGACUUUGAUUAAGUUAGUAAGCAGCGCGCCGCAACAGCAACUCAAAAAAUAUCGAAACCGAGCCCUUUACCCCAAAUAAACAACAAGACCAAACACCAUCACAGCUGAAAAAGAAAAACUUGUGGAAAACUACCCAACUAUCAAUGGGUAUCAACUAACCAUUAUUCAAUUAAGUGCAAAAACGACGAUUAAUUUAACAUAAAUAUAUAAAAUAGAGGUUUUAUAUAUAAUUAUUAAAAUUUUAAAGUGUGUAAAAAAACAAAUGCAAAUGCAAAUCGAAACUGCCAAACAAAAUGAACAACAACAGCAACAACAACGAGGAUGCAGCAAAAAGGCUAUUAACAAAAUAAAAGUAAAAAUCGGUCAUCUGAAGAAGAAGUAGUAAUCGAGAAAGAAAAUGCAUGCCAAUCGAUACGAAUAACGAAAAAAAGAUAUAUCUUUCUGGACAUUAUCGGGCAGCUGCGUGUAAUUUUUUUUUGUUAAGAAAUUUAAGAAACUAUGAGGAAAAGAAGCUCGCUUUUAAAAUCUCUAUAUUGCGCACACGUCUACCUGUCCCACUCUAAACCCUGCACUCUGUAUAUCUCUGUCCCGCUCUAUCCCUGUUUUUACUUGUAAUGCAUAUUAAAUAAGUUAUAAUUUAAUAAUUUUUUUACAAAAUCAACACUCGAAUGUAAAAUCUCCGUUUUAGCUUGGCCGUAAAUGGAAGAGAAGCCCUUUAAGCUUACAUGUUUACUACUUUAUUUAAGCCUAUUGUGUGUAUUUUGUUUUUAUUUCUUUAUUUUAUUUUUUUUAGUUUGUUUAAUGAAUUACAAACAUAUUUUUGCUUUGAUUUUGGACAGUGAAACAGUGUUGUAAAAUGUAAAAAACGUUUCCUGUUUGUUUUCCGGAAACAGCUAAAAGAGAAGUUUCAUUUUUCAGUGUAUUUAAUAAUAUAGAAUGAAUGAAGAGAACAGCAUACUUGUAUGAAAAUAUUAUUUUUCUUGUAUACAUAUGAUGUACUUUCGCAUAUUAAAUUAGAAGGAAAAACAAAUAAAAUAAAGAAAACCGAACCGACAA